CCCUACCCUGCUAGUCUGUCAUUAUUUAGAUAGCUACUGUAGUGAAUUUGAAUGAGAAAUAACACCAAUAGUGUUGGACAUUUGGUCGACAGCUGGUGUUAUUGUUUGGGAUUUAGGAAGUGUGGCCUUGUUGUAAGAAGUAUGUCGCUUGGGGAUGGGCUUUGAAGAUUAAAUGCCCUGUCCCAUUCCCAGUUUGUUCCUUCUGCUUUCUGCUUGCAGUUCAAGAUGUGAACCUUUAGCUUCUGCUCCACUUGCCUUCCCUGCUGCCCUCCACCAUGUUCCCCUACCAUGAUGGAUGCUUAACCCUCUGGAAGCAUGCAGCAGGUUCUGGAGACGAAGCACGGUACCUUGUAUAUCUAGGCUCCAAUAUUCAUGCUUGAAUUGCUGGCAAAACAGAUCUUUUCCGGGAAAAUUGGCAACAAUAUUUAACAACGUUUAACAAUCAGACAAUGGACCACUGACACUUAAGCCAAAUGGUAAAAUGUUGAAAGACCCCAUGGUAGAGAUUAAUAAGUCACUUGGCCCCUGGCUGUCAAGCCGGGACACUGUGUAAGCUCAGACUUGGUGUCAAGGUUCUUUCUUUCUUUCUUUCUUUCUUUCUUUCUUUCUUUCUUUCUUUCUUUCUUUCUCUCUCUCUCUCUCUCUCUCUCUCUCUCUCUCUUUCUUUCUUUCAACUGUUUUACAACUUGCUUACUUAAGAGUCAUUCCCUUGUAAAGUUAAGGGUGCUACAAUGUGAACAUGCUAGGCUUCGCUAAGCUUUUAAUUAUGACAAAAUUAUAUUUUAAUUAAAAACACAUUUGAAAGAAAAAUAAAGGCAAAGCUUUAUAGGCCAGCUCUCCUGGAAACAGGUUGGGUUGAAAUCUCAGUGGGGGAGAAGCUGGGCUCAUUAUGGAGACACCUCCUGGCCUCAGGUGACCCCAGGUGCUCAACAUUUGAAGCAAGGGUGGAUGUCUGUGCUGACCAACUCGUGGGUGUGUGCUGCCCCAGGAGGGAGAGGGACUUCAGCAAGCCAUUCUCAUUAGCAAAGCAAAUUCUCAGGGGAACAGACAGCUUUGGGUAUCAAAUCCUUCACCAGGGGAUGGUGAGGGAGAGGUUUGUAGAUGUGAAUAUGAAUGGUAAAGUGUAGUUGUCUAUUCCUGCCAGUGGUGGAGGACUGCUGUUAAGUGCAUUUAUAUGUAACACAUAUAGGUUAUCCUGUGCACUUUUAAGUUUUAUCCUAUUUUACUGAAAACAGACUUUUUUCUUACAUGAUAUAUCCUUAUUAAAAGCUUUCUCUCCUUUUACUCGUCCCCUCUCCCCUCCUCAUUCAUCCGGAAACCCCCCCCCCCACCUUUCUGUCUUUCAUUAGGAAACAAGCAGGCUUCUAAAGGAUAAAAAUAAAAUAGUAUAAUAUGACAUAACGAAACAAAACAAAAUACAUCAGAAUAGAACGAACGGAAGGAAAAGAGCCCAGGAGAAGGGACAACCAACAGAUACAGAGGUUCAUCCCUUCCCAUACUCAGGAGUACCAUAAAAACACAAAACUGGAAACCAUAAUAUAAAAACAAAGAACCCAUGGGGGGAGGGAGGGAGGGAAGGAGAGAGAGAGAGAGAGAGAGAGAGAGAGAGAGAGAGAGAGAGAGAGAGAGAGAGAAUCCCUGACAUGCCAUUAUGAGAUUGGGAACCCCCAAAGAUGCCGUUGAGUCUGUUUUCUGUUGGCAUCUACCGCUUGGCACGCGGUCUACCCCUAAGAAUAGUUUGUUUCCCCAAUGAGACUCCCCUUUGGAGGAAGCUAAAAUUUCAUUUGCAAGUGCUUAUCAAUGGGAGAAAGUGUCUGUGCUAGGGAUAAGGCCAAGUGUCCACUUCUCCUUUUAGCUCUCGGAAUCCUUCUGUUGUGUGCCCACGAGAGCCCCAUACGUGCUGCCUCCGUCUCCGUGAGUUCAUGUGGGCAUCACCUAUAACGCACCUAUGACGCUCUGUUCUAUUCAGAAGGCCUUGUUUCCAUGGUAUCCUCCAUCCUCUUUGGUUCUUUCGGCUCUUUUCCGUCUCCUCUUCACAGGGUUCCCUGAGUCCAGAGGGGAGGGAUUUGAUGCAGACAUCCCAUUUAGGGCGGAGGGUUCCGCGGUCUCACGCUCUGCUUGUUGCCUGGCGGUGGGUCUCUGUAUUUGUUUCAUCUGCUGCAGGAGGAAGCUUCCCUGAGGAUGUAGCUGAACGAGGCUCUGAUCUAAGAGUACAGCAGAAUGUCAUUAGGAGUCACUUUAUCGAUAUGUUCCUUUAGUAAGUCAGUAGCAUUUGGUUUUACCCAAGGUCUCCACGGGGACAUAUAGUAGGUUUUCAGUCACCCAAGCAGCAUUGGGUAUGGGCUCCAUCUUGUGGAGUAGGCCAUAUUUAAAUCAGAUAUUGGCCCGUUACUCUCACACAUGUUUUGUGCCACCUUUGAACUAGUAUAGGGUGGCAGACACCGUUGUAGGUCAAAGGGGUUUAGCGGGUUUGUGUUUACACUUCUUUGGGAGCAUACAGAGAGCUGUUGGGUACUGAGAGAACUAGCCCAGAGUGGUGAGGGCUCUAUGUAGGCACCAGCUCAGCCUUUCUGUGUUCAAUGGUUGUGUAGGUGUGGUUUUCAGCAAUGGACCCUUGCUGUCAGUUUGUGGAGAGCAACCUAUAGCCUUGGCAAUGGCCUACAUUGUUUGGGGAUUCCCAUGGGACUCCUUCCGCCAACAACUCAAUUAGAUGUAACCUAUUCCCAUUCUGGAAGUUUCAUUUGGUGACAAGGGAUGGCCAGUUGGACGCUGUCUCCCCUGUUACAUGGAGACUUCAUUUAGAUGGCCUACAUAUAUGAAUAUACUUUAGAAAGCUUCCAUAGUAUUAGGUUUCCAUGCUACCUGUCACGUGACUUAAUCUUAGCACUCUUUCCCUGUAUUCCCUCCCCUUACCCACUUAUCCUUCCUAGUCCGUUUUCAUUCAAUUUUCCAUUUUCUGUUAUCUUUUACACUUUCUUUGUGUUUUAAUAAAUUUUAUAAAUUUAUAAUUAAUUUUCAAAUUUAUCAGUAUUAAUUUAUAAAUUUAUCGUUAUUAAUUUAUAAUAUAAUUUUGUAAGUCUUUGACUUGCUUGGUUAGAGUUAUUAACCCACGGUGUCAUAUUUUUGAGGCUACUAUGAAAGGCCUAGUCUCUCUGAGUUCUUUCUCAGUCCAAUUGCUGUUUGUACAUAGGAGGUCUACUGAUUUCUUGGUGUGAAUUAAUGUUAUAGCCAACAACUUUGCUAAAACUAUUUCUCAGCAGGAGUUUCCUGGUGGAGCUUUUAAGGUCACUUAUAUAUACUAUCAUGUUAUCUGAAAAUAAAGAUCCUUUGUCUUCUUCUUUUCCAAAUUUGUAGACGAUCCCUUCAGUUGUCUUAUUGCUCUAGCUAAGGCUUCAAGUGCCAUAUUGAAUAGAUAUGGAGAGAGUGGCCAGCCUUGUUUUGCUCCUGAUUUUAAUGGAACUUGAGUUUCUCUCCAUGUAAGUUGAUGUUGGCUAUGGGCUUGCCGUAAAGUGCCUUCAUUAUGCUGAAGUGUGUCCAUAUGCCGGGGAUGGCGACCUGAUGCCUUCCCUCUGUGUCAGGCUUGACUCACACUGAAAGUCUGGCUGUAGUCUGGGUGCUGAGCUAGAGAGAGAGAGAGAGAGAGAGAGAGAGAGAGAGAGAGAGAGAGAGAGAGCCAAAGGAGAGUGAGAAACAGGAAAGAAAGAAAGGUCCAGGAGGCAACAGAGAUAAGUGCUUCCUUCUAACAGGACUCUGUCCUCUGAGUCAUAAAGGAACUCAUCCCAGGGGCUCUGUGUGUCACCACCUGGGAUUGUGUCUCAUGUGCAUUGGUUCUGAGAGGAGCGAAGCAAUGGCGGCUGAGCCCCACCCAAGCAUCCUUGACUGUUCUGGGCAGCCAUGUGGGGCAUGCGGAUUAAUGAUGAGAACAUCUUGUUGCUUCCUUUUGUCUGUUCCUCCAUUAUUUUUCCUACUAGCACCUAUUCAUCGCCCACUGUGUGCCAGGCACUGAGCAAGCCCUUUGCUGGAAACAGGCAUCCCAGUGUCUUUGUGAAUGAGCAACCUGAAAGCACGCUUAGUCCAGGUCCCUGCAUGUCUGACAGGUUCCUUUGCUGGGCCACAGGAUCCUUUUGUGAGACCAUGUGUCAGUCUGUAAUGUGCUGCUUCUUGACAGGUGCCAAUCCAUUUUUGCCAUCUUUACAUGGUGGUAAUAUUUUUAACAUCAGGAGUCUACUUAAUUCAUUGAACUGUCUUCAAUGUAUUCUCUUUUUUUCUUGAAUUGGGAGGGAUCAAAACGCAAACAACUCCCUAGUCUUAUUCAUAUGCUGAGUACUGAAUGUAGUGUCUACAAAUGAGGGACCAAUAUUUCUGUCCAGUGAAUGCAUGAAGUAUACUCAGAGGCAAGGUUGCUGCCUGCGUAACUAACUUUUCAUAGCUUUGGAAAUGACAUGCAGCAGGUGAGGUGUCUCAGCAGGUAAAGGUUCUUGUUGAUAAGCAUGACGACCUUUGACAGAUUCCCCAGGACCCAAAACGUGAAAGAUGAGAAUCGACUUCUGAAAAUUGUUCUCUGACCUCCACCCAUUCAUACUCCAAUAAAAGUGAAUGUAACAAUUUUUUUCAAGAUGA